ensembl:lncRNA
CAGAUGGUAAAGAAUCUGCCUGCAAAGUGGGAGACCCAGGUUUUAUCCCUGGGUCAGGAAGAUUCCCCAGGAGAAGGGAAUGGCUAUUCACUCCAGUAUUCUUGCUUGGAGAAUUCCAUGGACAGAGGAGCCUGGCGAACACUUAUAUCUGCCUAACUGCCAGUCCUGUGUCAUCUUGGAGGAGAGAAAGAUCCAUUUAUUUCUUUGUUUGUAACAGGUAACUAUGUACCCAGUAGAAAAUUUAAAAGAUACAAAAGACCAUACAGUGAAUAUAAGUUCCCGUCCAUCACACCCCCUCCUUCAUCCUCGUCCUCUCGCCCUCCCCAACCCCGAUCCCCAGACAAUUAGUUACUGCUACCGUCCCUGAACAAGAAAUCUCUUUACAGACUGAAAAACUAAGGCAAUCG